rnacentral:rRNA from 1 species
AUUGAACGCUGGCGGCAGGCCUAACACAUGCAAGUCGAGCGGAUGAAGGGAGCUUGCUCCUGGAUUCAGCGGCGGACGGGUGAGUAAUGCCUAGGAAUCUGCCUGGUAGUGGGGGAUAACGUCCGGAAACGGGCGCUAAUACCGCAUACGUCCUGAGGGAGAAAGUGGGGGAUCUUCGGACCUCACGCUAUCAGAUAAGCCUAGGUCGGAUUAGCUAGUUGGUGGGGUAAAGGCCUACCAAGGCGACGAUCCGUAACUGGUCUGAGAGGAUGAUCAGUCACACUGGAACUGAGACACGGUCCAGACUCCUACGGGAGGCAGCAGUGGGGAAUAUUGGACAAUGGGCGAAAGCCUGAUCCAGCCAUGCCGCGUGUGUGAAGAAGGUCUUCGGAUUGUAAAGCACUUUAAGUUGGGAGGAAGGGCAGUAAGUUAAUACCCUGCUGUUUUGACGUUACCAACAGAAUAAGCACCGGCUAACUUCGUG